rnacentral:misc_RNA from 1 species
GAAAAAGCUGAUUUUCAAAGUCACUGCGUCUUUGCUACGGCGUUUAAUUUUACCGAAAAAAUGGGGGAUUCAAACAAUCUUGAAGAAUCCUUGAAACCCUUUUACCAGAGAGCUUCAGAGGCUGAGGAACGAUUGGCAAGACUUGAAAUUUCAGUCGCUAGUAAGACAGAUCUUAAAAACGAGGAAUUGGAGAGAACAGUUGCUGGACUCCAGUCAAAGCUGAAAGAUGUCACUGCUGAGCUCGAAGCAGAACAAGAAAAGGGACACAAACAGGUCGAACAACUAACUUCAGAGAAUGCAAAGCUCAAAUAUCGUAUCAAACAUCUAGUUCGAUCGCUAGAGGAGGUUCUUAGCAAGUUGGCAUCGAAGUGAGGUAAUUUUUUCUGAAGCAGGAUGAUAGAUAGCUCUUUUUACUUCAAAUACUUAGUUGCAUGUUACCAAAGGAGUUAUUUUAACUGUUGAUUCUUACGCAUGAGUUUUAAGAAAAAGAGUUUAAAUUGUA